rnacentral:misc_RNA from 1 species
AAACUCUCUGGAGGGCGAAUGGCAGAAUAUGGAUAAUACUCACGUUCCAUAUAUGGCAUUCUGUGAUCUUGAUAUGAGUACAAAGGGGUAUUAUAUUCACUCGAGUAACUAGCUUGUAAAGGAGAAACUGUAGAAGCUUGGUUGUUGCUGGGCAUGUUUAAUGUAUGAAUCCCAACUGAUUCAGUUGCAACUCUACUUGUGUUUACCCUCUCAGCUUCAAUAUUAAGAUUAAGUAAUUGAUCAAGGUCGCUUGCUGAAGUGCUUGGUAUACCCUGCCCACUUGAAGCUUUUCCGGCUCCAGGAUCCAU